UCCUGCUGGGAUAGCUCAGUCGGUAGAGCAUGAGUCUCUUGAUCUCAUGGUGAUGGGUUUGAACCCCAUGUUGGGGGAA